rnacentral:rRNA from 1 species
GAAACCCGGUGAUCUAGCCAUGGGCAGGUUGAAGGUUGGGUAACACUAACUGGAGGACCGAACCGACUAAUGUUGAAAAAUUAGCGGAUGACUUGUGGCUGGGGGUGAAAGGCCAAUCAAACCGGGAGAUAGCUGGUUCUCCCCGAAAGCUAUUUAGGUAGCGCCUCGUGAAUUCAUCUUCGGGGGUAGAGCACUGUUUCGGCUAGGGGGUCAUCCCGACUUACCAACCCGAUGCAAACUACGAAUACCGAAGAAUGUUAUCACGGGAGACACACGGCGGGUGCUAACGUCCGUCGUGAAGAGGGAAACAACCCAGACCGCCAGCUAAGGUCCCAAAGUCAUGGUUAAGUGGGAAACGAUGUGGGAAGGCACAGACAGCCAGGAUGUUGGCUUAGAAGCAGCCAUCAUUUAAAGAAAGCGUAAUAGCUCACUGGUCGAGUCGGCCUGCGCGGAAGAUGUAACGGGGCUAAACCAUGCACCGAAGCUGCGGCAGCGACACUAUGUGUUGUUGGGUAGGGGAGCGUUCUGUAAGCCUGCGAAGGUGACCUGUGAGGGUUGCUGGAGGUAUCAGAAGUGCGAAUGCUGACAUAAGUAACGAUAAAGCGGGUGAAAAGCCCGCUCGCCGGAAGACCAAGGGUUCCUGUCCAACGUUAAUCGGGGCAGGGUGAGUCGACCCCUAAGGCGAGGCCGAAAGGCGUAGUCGAUGGGAAACAGGUUAAUAUUCCUGUACUUGGUGUUACUGCGAAGGGGGGACGGAGAAGGCUAUGUUAGCCGGGCGACGGUUGUCCCGGUUUAAGCAUGUAGGCUGGUUGUCCAGGCAAAUCCGGAUAAUCAAGGCUGAGGUGUGAUGACGAGGCACUACGGUGCUGAAGUAACAAAUGCCCUGCUUCCAGGAAAAGCCUCUAAGCAUCAGGUAACAUUAAAUCGUACCCCAAACCGACACAGGUGGUCAGGUAGAGAAUACCAAGGCGCUUGAGAGAACUCGGGUGAAGGAACUAGGCAAAAUGGUGCCGUAACUUCGGGAGAAGGCACGCUGGUGUGUAGGUGAAGUCCCUGCGGAUGGAGCUGAGACCAGUCGAAGAUACCAGCUGGCUGCAACUGUUUAUUAAAAACACAGCACUGUGCAAACACGAAAGUGGACGUAUACGGUGUGACGCCUGCCCGGUGCCGGAAGGUUAAUUGAUGGGGUUAUCCGUAAGGAGAAGCUCUUGAUCGAAGCCCCGGUAAACGGCGGCCGUAACUAUAACGGUCCUAAGGUAGCGAAAUUCCUUGUCGGGUAAGUUCCGACCUGCACGAAUGGCGUAAUGAUGGCCAGGCUGUCUCCACCCGAGACUCAGUGAAAUUGAACUCGCUGUGAAGAUGCAGUGUACCCGCGGCAAGACGGAAAGACCCCGUGAACCUUUACUAUAGCUUGACACUGAACAUUGAGCCUUGAUGUGUAGGAUAGGUGGGAGGCUUUGAAGCGUGGACGCCAGUCUGCGUGGAGCCAACCUUGAAAUACCACCCUUUAAUGUUUGAUGUUCUAACGUUGGCCCCUGACCGGGGUUGCGGACAGUGUCUGGUGGGUAGUUUGACUGGGGCGGUCUCCUCCCAAAGCGUAACGGAGGAGCACGAAGGUUAGCUAAUCCUGGUCGGACAUCAGGAGGUUAGUGCAAUGGCAUAAGCUAGCUUGACUGCGAGCGUGACGGCGCGAGCAGGUGCGAAAGCAGGUCAUAGUGAUCCGGUGGUUCUGAAUGGAAGGGCCAUCGCUCAACGGAUAAAAGGUACUCCGGGGAUAACAGGCUGAUACCGCCCAAGAGUUCAUAUCGACGGCGGUGUUUGGCACCUCGAUGUCGGCUCAUCACAUCCUGGGGCUGAAGUAGGUCCCAAGGGUAUGGCUGUUCGCCAUUUAAAGUGGUACGCGAGCUGGGUUUAGAACGUCGUGAGACAGUUCGGUCCCUAUCUGCCGUGGGCGCUGGAGAAUUGAGGGGGGCUGCUCCUAGUACGAGAGGACCGGAGUGGACGCAUCACUGGUGUUCGGGUUGUCAUGCCAAUGGCACUGCCCGGUAGCUAAAUGCGGAAGAGAUAAGUGCUGAAAGCAUCUAAGCACGAAACUUGCCCCGAGAUGAGUUCUCCCUGAGACUUUAAGUCUCCUGAAGGAACGUUAAAGACGAUGACGUUGAUAGGCCGGGUGUGUAAGCGCAGCGAUGCGUUGAGCUAACCGGUACUAAUGAACCGUGAGGCUUAACCUU